AGAGGCAGAGUCUUGCUUUGUUGUCCAGGCUGGUCUUGAACUCCUGAGCUCAAGUGAUCCUCCCGCCUUGGCCUCCCAGAGUGCUGAGAUUACAGAGAGAGAAUGCUAAUGAGCUGCGAAAUGACCGAAGAUCUGGCAGCAGAAGGGAAGAGAAAAAAUAACGGGAACAAGAGGAUUUAUCUGACUCAACUGGAGAUGGCUCCCUUCCCUAAUUUAUUGUUGCAUCCUGAAGCUUCUCCCAUGCUGAGCUCAGUGUGAACAAACAGCGCGGGAGGAUGUAACCACUGCAGAGGCAUAUGUUUGAGAUGUCUGGCCACUGGAGGUCGUCUCGUCUACUAUGUUCACCACAGAUAAAGAAUGAAAAGAGAAUACACAACCUUGUGAUUGCUAGCAGUGAAAGCUCAGAGUUGUGACAUAACAAGUGGUUGAUCAUACUAUAAAACUUAAAUGUGAAGGGAAGGCUGGAACAUACUGGAAACUGAAGACCUGACAAAAAGAAGGAACUUUUAGGGACAAGCAGAAACUUCAAAAUGUUGAGAACUCUCUUGUAUCAUAAUAGAAGAUAAAAACUCUGAUGGUCACACUCAUAAAGACAACAAACAAACAAAAACCCAGAAUCACAAAAGCAAAGAAAAUGUAGGUAAAACAAUAACAGAAGAGGUAAAGAAAUUUAUGUGAAUUGGGACACUCUGGGGCACGGAACAGAAGAGGAGAAGAAACAUGAAAGUAAUGCUCUGCACAAGGAUGUCUGAGUGUCCUUGAUUCCAAGGGCAUUUAAAAUUAGCCACUGGAUGAGAACCAUGAAAUGCCAUUACUCUUACAGCUCCCAUGAAAGACACUGGAUGGAGCUUAUCCUGACUGGACCAAACUCUAAAAAAUUUUACAUGAUAUUAUAAUGAGUUGAAAGUUGAACCAAAAAACAACGCUUUUCUAGAUUACCAAGAAUAAAACACAAAUUUCUAGCUGACUGAAUUAAUUCUCAUCUCUCUAUAGAAAGAUCAUAUAUUUUUUUUAUCAUGCAAAGAGAUAGCUAAAAACUUAGGAAAAUAUAGAAGUGUGUUAGGCAGCUCAUGAGUAAAUGGGUUUUUUCCUUUUUUCCUCUGGCAUUUUGUGAUGUUUGCGGUACUUUUCGGCUUUUAGAAAUUUGUAUUUAAUCAGGAUUUGUUACUUCAUUGUAAGUAAAUAUUAAAUUUAUACUCAAUCUUUGUUUGUAAUUUUGUAUAUUUUUUGGUGAAAAGAACUCCCCAGAUUAUAUAAGCUUUAGGCCCCACAAAAUCUAGACCUGUUGCUGUAUCCUUCUAGAGCAGUGUUUCUCAAACUUCAAUGUGCAUUUGAAUCUCCUGGGGCUCCUGUUAAAAUAUAGCUUCUGAGAUGAUGCAUUUCUAACAAACUCCCAGGGCUGACACUGCCCAUCUGGGGAUCACACUUUGAGAAUCAAAGCUCUAGAACAAUAGUUCUUACCUGGCUGUGCAUUGGGAUCACUUAUAGUGCUUUUGGAAAAUACAUUGUGUCCAGGUCCCACCCCAUUCUCAGUAGGCUUGGAAUGGGGUCCUACACUUUUUUUUUUAACUCCACAGUUUGGGAAAGAAGAACUUUCAUAUAUUGUUGGUGGGAGUACAAAUUGAUACAGCCAAUUUUCAGCUUGAUUUGGCAAUAUCUUCCUUGGAGAAAUCAAAAGCCAGUUGGCAAGGCAAUCUGAAAAAGGCAUUUACUGAUUCCCACCCCAUGGUCACAAAGCAGAUAUAGAAGAAUGGGCUUUGGCUGAAAUAUAUGAUGGGCACAGGUAUAUUCUCUAUAAUCUAGUAGUUCCACUUCUAAAAAUGUAUCCUAGUAGCAUUAUACAUAUCAAGACUACAUAUAAAGUUAUUCAAUUCCAUAUUACUUAUAGUAGGGGAAGACUGAAAGCAGUCUACAUGCCCAUCAAUGGAUUAUUCAAAUUAUGGAACACUUUUCCAAUGACAUAACAAUAGCUAAUCUUAGUUAAGCAAUUAUUAUGUUAUGUAAGGUAGACAUUGUUCUACCUUAUUUAUAAGUAUUAACUAAAUUAGUUUUUAUAACUAUCAUAUUUCCAUUUUACAAAUGGCCUAAUUUAUAUUAUUGGCAUGGGAAGAUGUCCAAGGAUAUAAUAAGCAAAAAGCAAGUAGCAGAACAUUAUGUAUGAUAUAUUAUGCAUCACCAUUAUAAUACACUAAAAGGUAAUUCACUUGAAUCUGAUGCACACUCCCCGGUAGGUAACAGCUGAUCCAGUAUAAAAAUGAAAGAACAUUCUG